AGAGCGUAGGGCGGAUGCCUUGGCACUAAGAGCCGAUGAAGGACGUGAUAAGCUGCGAUAAGCUGCGGGGAAGAGCAAAUAUCUAUUGAUCCGCAGAUUUCCGAAUGGGGAAACCUACUGCAGAAGACCUGCAGUGACUGUGCGUAAAUCCAUAGCGUACAGCCGGGAACCCGCUGAACUGAAACAUCUAAGUAGGCGGAGGAAGAGAAAACAACAGUGAUUCCGUAAGUAGUGGCGAGCGAACACGGAAGAGCCCAAACCGCGGUGCGUGCACCGCGGGGUUCGGACUGCAUAAGGGGAUUGAAUGGUUACCGGAAGGACUUUGGAAAAGUCCGCCACAGAGGGUGAAAGCCCCGUACGGGAAAACGAUUCGAAACUCGGCAGGAUCCAGAGUACCACGAGACACGUGAAACCUUGUGGGAAUACGGGGGGACCACCCCCUAAGGCUAAAUACUACUUAGUGACCGAUAGUGCAUAGUACUGUGAAGGAAAGGUGAAAAGGACCCCGGGAGGGGAGUGAAAAAGAACCUGAAACCCUAUGUUUACAUGCAGUGGAAGUGCGAUACAUGAACGCACAACCGCGUACUUUUUGUAGAACGGUCCGGCGAGUUGCCGGUGCUGGCAAGGUUAAGGACUACAGGUCCGGAGCCGAAGGGAAACCGAGUCUUAAUAGGGCUUACAGUCAGCAUCGGCAGACCCGAAACCGGGUGAUCUAUCCAUGUCCAGGUUGAAGUUCCCGUAAAAGGGAAUGGAGGACCGAACACACAUCCGUUGAAAAGGGUGGUGAUGAGGUGUGGAUAGGGGAGAAAUUCCAAUCGAACCCGGAGAUAGCUGGUUCUCCUCGAAAUAGCUUUAGGGCUAGCCUCGACUUAGUCAGACGGAGGUAGAGCACUGAAUUCCUGAGGGGGCGUCAAAGCCUACCAAGGGAUAUCAAACUGCGAAUGCCGCACUGAUGAUGGUCGGGAGUCAGACUGUACGAGAUAAGUUGGACAGUCAAAAGGGAAAGAGCCCAGACCUACAGCUAAGGUCCCAAAAUACGUGUUAAGUGGAAAAGGAUGUGGGAUUUCGAAGACAGCUAGGAUGUUGGCUUAGAAGCAGCCACACAUUCAAAGAGUGCGUAAUAGCUCACUAGUCGAGAGGUCCUGCGCCGAAAAUUUCCGGGGCUAAAACACGAUACCGAAGCUUAGGAAUGUAGCAAUACAUUGGUAGAGGAGCAAUCUCAGAGUGCCGAAGCGUUACCGUAAGGAAGCGUGGAGUUCUGAGAAGAGAGAAUGCCGGAAUGAGUAGCGAGAAUGAUGUGAGAAUCAUCAUGGCCGAAUAUCCAAGGAUUCCAGGGUAAAGCUGAUCUGCCCUGGGUAAGUCGGGACCUAAGGCGAGGGAGAAAUCCGUAGUCGAUGGACAGCAGGUUCAUAUUCCUGCACCUGACAUGAUCAGAACUGUGGGGACACAGGAACGAAACCGGACCCGGGAGAGCAAAGACCGGGCGAAGCGAAGUUAGGAGUGCGGUAGGCAAAUCCGCCGCACAAUCCGAAAGCGUGAUAGGGAGCGAAAAAUAAGUAGCGAAGCCGGUGGAGGGACUGUCGAGAAAAGCCGCUAUUGUAUCAUGUCAGCCCGUACCGCAAACCGACACAGGUGGAUGAGGAGAGAAUCCUAAGGCCGGCGGGAGAAGCAUUGUUAAGGAACUCGGCAAAAUGACCCCGUAACUUCGGGAGAAGGGGUGCCAUCCUCCGGGAUGGCCACAGAAAAUAGGCUCAAGCAACUGUUUAGCAAAAACACAGGUCUAUGCGAAACCGAAAGGUGAGGUAUAUGGGCUGACGCCUGCCCGGUGCUGGAAGGUUAAGAGGAGAGGUUAGCGCAAGCGAAGCUUUGAAUUUAAGCCCCAGUAAACGGCGGCCGUAACUAUAACGGUCCUAAGGUAGCGAAAUUCCUUGUCGGGUAAGUUCCGACCCGCACGAAAGGCGUAAUGAUUUGAGCGCUGUCUCAACAAUGCACCCGGUGAAAUUGAAGUACCAGUGAAGAUGCUGGUGACCUGCGCCAGGACGGAAAGACCCCAUGGAGCUUUACUCCAGCUUGAUACCGGGAUUCGGUGUUACUCGUACAGGAUAGGUGGGAGGCUAAGAAGGAAGGACGCCAGUCUUUCCGGAGCCGCUGUUGGGAUACCACCCCUGUGGCACUGGAUUUCUAACCUACAUCCGUAAUCCGGAUGGGGGACAAUGUCAGGUGGGGAGUUUGACUGGGGCGGUCGCCUCCGAAAGAGUAUCGGAGGCGCUCAAAGGUUCCCUCAGAAUGGUUGGAAACCAUUCGAAGA
rnacentral:rRNA from 1 species